rfam:Mycobacterium bohemicum strain DSM 44277 contig_44, whole genome shotgun sequence.
CCGGGCCCGGUUCCCGCUGGCCGACCAGGUGCAGCUUGCUGCCCGCGACCCGGCCCC